UGGGGAAUCUUGGACAAUGGGCGCAAGCCUGAUCCAGCGAUGCCGCGUGGGUGAAGACGGCCUGCGGGUUGUAAAGCCCUUUCGGUGGGGAAGAAAGGCGGGGUAUGAACAAUGCCCGGCUGUGACGUUACCCACAGAAGAAGCACCGGCUAACUCCGUGCCAGCAGCCGCGGUAAUACGGAGGGUGCGAGCGUUAAUCGAAAUUACUGGGCGUAAAGCGCGCGUAGGCGGUCAAGGCAGUCAGCUGUGAAAGCCCCGGGCUUAACCUGGGAAUGGCAGUUGAGAGACUUCUUGACUGGAGUGUGAGCGAGGACCGUGGAAUUCCCGGUGUAGCGGUGAAAUGCGUAGAGAUCGGGAAGAACACCGAUGGCGAAGGCAGCGGUCUGGAUCGACACUGACGCUGAGGCGCGAAAGCGUGGGGAGCAAACAGGAUUAGAUACCCUGGUAGUCCACGCCCUAAACGAUGAGCACUAGACGUCGGGGGGGUUACUCCUCGGUGUCGCCGCUAACGCAGUAAGUACUCCGCCUGGGGAGUACGGCCGCAAGGUUG
rnacentral:rRNA from 1 species